rnacentral:rRNA from 1 species
UACGAAGGGGGCUAGCGUUGCUCGGAAUUACUGGGCGUAAAGCGCACGUAGGCGGCUUUCUAAGUCGGGGGUGAAAUCCUGGAGCUCAACUCCAGAACUGCCUUCGAUACUGGAGAGCUCGAGUCCGGGAGAGGUGAGUGGAACUGCGAGUGUAGAGGUGAAAUUCGUAGAUAUUCGCAAGAACACCAGUGGCGAAGGCGGCUCACUGGCCCGGUACUGACGCUGAGGUGCGAAAGCGUUGGGAGCAAACAGG